ACUUCAGUGGCCAGUAUGUUUGCCACACCCUGCUCUGUGCAAAAAACAUAUGCCAUGUUGGCAGGGUUCCAUGUCUGACAAGGUAGGUAAGGGCCUUAGCCAGCAAACUCCAUCUUUCAAAGACUGCGUGUGGCAGUGGAAUAAAUAGCUGCCUUCAACCACCCAUUCCUGGUUCUGUUUCUCCCAGCUGUCACAAAUGAUUUUCCAGAUGAGAUUAAGAGGCUGAAAUGCUUAAACAUUAGUGGAGGGGACUUCUGUCCAAGGUGAUGGUAGAUUUUUAGUGCCCAGACUCAUGAGAUGAAUGACCACUGAUGAAGUAAAUCAUGGUUUCAGCUGUCAGGGCUGUAAUUGUAGACAAAAGGACCAGUUCAGACUUGUGUUCAAAAAGAAAAAACAAAAUCCCAAGUAUAAGCUUUUAUUGAAACCAAAUGUGCUUGUAAAAGGCAGGAGUUAUUUAAGAAGAUGUGUACUUAAGUGUGCAUAGUUAAGUGCCAGUUGUCAGCUCUUCAUUAGAAGCCCUAUAAAUAACUCCUCAUCCAUUUCUGUGUUAUGAGAGGUGCAUGUGAUAGUAAGAGAUUAUCUCGGACAUGCUUUGCUCUCAGCACCCAUCCAAUUCUGCUUCGGGAGGAUCAAUUCAUUCCCUUUCAAGCUUGUUUUCCCCUGGCUUACUGCAGUGCUAUCAAAUAGUCAGAAUUCUUCCUCCUGAAGAUUUGCCAAGGGAUAAUUGCUUUCAGUGCUGGGAUAAACAUGAAAACACUACUCGUAAUGUCCUAAGCCAUUCAUUGGUGUGUGGGUUUUUGUUUUUGUUGUUUUUGCUUUCAGUCCACCAAUCCCAGUGAGUUACAUCCCUCGAUAAACAUCUCACCAGCAAACCAAUUACAGUCAUCCAAGUAGAAACAUAUACGUGCUGUUUGCUAACAAAAAGAAGAACACACCAUUAGGCAGCAAAAGCUUUCGAAGUUCAACAAGCCUCUGACAUAUGUUUGUAUAUAUGUAUAUGAUUUAAAAAAAGUUCUGUAAACUAAUUUUUUUUUUAAGCUUGACCAAUAACAAAAACCACUUGUUUACAGAAACUCCUAUGCUGCAGCAUGAGAAGCUCGCCUGGAAUGCUGUGGCUUGGGUAGAAGAUGAGUUCAUGGCACAGAUGGGGAGGUGAGUGCCAGGUGGCACACAGCAGCCAAGCAGUGCAAGCAGAUGACAGAGGAAAAGAUUCUGCGACAAAAGGGACAGUACAAGUCAUUUGUUGGUGACAAUGGAACAUGCUUUUCGGAGUGUGGAAACUGUGGAGACAGCAUCGAGGACUGGAAAAUAAUAAAGUCAGGUGUCAAGAUGUUGAAGGCAAAAGCAGCCAGCUGAGUCAAAGGAAGAAGGACGGAAGGAGUGACUCAAAUAGUCAAAGAGCAUGAGGCUAACAGUGAAACAGUGAUCCUGGUCGUUUGAUGAGAAAAUAGGAAAGUGGAGGGACCCUCUAGAACAGACCCCACUUCUUCUCUUUUUAGUAUUUUACAUGGAAAGACGCCGAGUUUGGCAACCUUUCAAAGCUUGCAGUCUUUUGGCUGAACUAUUUUGAGUCUGGGAGCAUUUGGUUAUUCUUUGCCCAAAUGUCAGCACUCUGCUCUCUAUUAGAUGUGUGCAACGAGUGAUUUCACUUAACCAAAGCCCUGGUUUUCCACAGGAAACUGUUUGCAGUGGAAGAAGGCUUGGCUUUACCUCAAACAGCAUCCUUGCAGGGCCAGGUGCCCGCAGCAGCCUCAGAGCUGCUCAGCAAUGCUUCUGACAGCAAGCAGAGCAGCCACCAGGACCCACAGGGAGGGCAGGGAGAACUUUUAAUUAAGGAACCAGAAAAUGCUGCCUGUGAUGUUAUUUUGUUGUUCAACAACUUACCUUGUGAGGAGGGAGUACAAUGUUCUCCAGAUGAGAGAAGUGGAUUUUCUGUGUUUUGGACUGAUUCAGAGAGGCCCCUCAGAAAAUACUUCAGAACAACCUUAAAAUAGCCUGCUCCACUAAUACCAAGGAAACACUUCUUCUUGCCAAGAAACUGCAAUCCUAUUUUUCAUGCCCACUGAUUUUGGAAAGCAGACUUAUAAGUCUCCGUUUGUGUUGGGCCCCUUUCUGAGUAAAGAGCAUUAGGAAGAUCAAGGUUGCUUUGUGCUUUGUUUGAAGAGCUAUCAAACAGCAGCAGUAUCAGAUAAUGAGGAUUAUAAUGCUACAGCUCUCUACAAUUUUAUGCAUUUUAAUUACUGGUACAAAAUGUAUCCCGCGAGACAUCUGAGGCUCAGAAACAGGCACUAACUAAACAAAGUGUGCUGAUAUCUCUGUUUUCCUGAACUGCAUCAACAACAAAAUUCUCUGACAGGUCAACACAACCUCCUCCUCCCCCUCUCCUCUGAGCUGCUGGUGCUGAGCAGCAUUUUGAUAAUCGUCUGAUUUAUGUAAUGGCAGAUAAACUCAAAAAGCAGGAAUAAAUUGGGCCAGGAAAUCCAGCGGCCUUUCCAGCAGCUUUUCACAACCUCUAACUCUCCUUACCUCAAAUACCCAGCUGAAGUUUUACACAAAGGAAGCCCAUUUUCCUCUUCGUGGGACCAACGAUUCUACAAAGACGCACUGAUAUAUGGAAAGUAGAUACACAAUUGGCAUCCCCUACUCAUGGAAGACCUCACCCCAGUCACCAGUUUGCAGAGCUUAACAGUGAGAUAACUCAGUAUCAGAAACCUGCCUUGCUAUCCUCUCAUUGCCUUUUUGAGAGCCGAACUAUGAAGGAGCACUCUGAUUCUCUAGCUUGAGCAAACAUGAGUAGGUCUGAUCACUGAAAACAAAUACAUCUGUUGGGGUGGAAGAUCCACAGGAUGCGUCAGGACAUGUGGCUGCCCAGCAAUGUUAGACAAGAGCUGGGUGCCCUUCUACCCAUCUACAAUCUUCAGCCCAAUUUGAAACUGAAUAGGAUUUCAAGCCACUCAUGAAGAUUUAAAAUUAGUGGCUGCUUCACACAACUCAGCACGGACAUAAGAAACCAAAGGGAAAAUCUUCAGAGUGGGAUACACCUUGUAGAGCAGACAGAAUCAAAUGAAGUCCCACGCAGACUCCACUUGUCACCUUCCUUCCUUCCAUCUUCCUUCUUUCCAUGCUCCUUUGGGACCUGAAGAUCAUGGACUAUGUACUGAGGUCAAUGGGAGAUGACAAGUUGACCCUGGAGGAGUGGAAAAGGGACACAGCAUUGUGAUAAAGAAUAUGCAGAGGUUAGGGGAACAUAGGCUACAGGUUAGCAAGUUAUUCCAACAGCCUUACUCUGCUGUCAAAAUGAUGGUAUUUUAGCUCCUGUCCAGACUGCUGGCUCUGGGCUGGUGAACAGGAUUGUGUUCAUUGACUACUGUUCAUUCACUAUCUAUGUACCAUGUGGAGACCCCAGUGCUAUAUAGAUUUGCUGAACCCAAAGCAUCUCUCAUCUAAUUCAUUCCCUUCCUAUGUGGAGUCAUGCCCAUGGGUAAGAGGCACACCACUGUGAUCCAUAUUUAUGGGACACCGUGAUGUUUCUAGGAGGAGAGUGCUCAGAGGCUGUCAGUUCCCAGUGUGCGUGUAUGUGCCUGUACUGGUGUGCAUGCUGACUGUGCUGUUCUGCAGAGCAGGAGAUAAGGAUGGGAUUAUCCUGUGUCUGGCAGCCACAGGCUCCUCAGAACUUUCUCUGAAGCAUCUGGUGCUGGCUAGUGUCAGAGCUGGGAUACUGACCCCUGUGUCUAGGCAAGUCUGGCAGUUCAGCUGUUUCUAGGCACUAGACAGGAGCAGACUGUUUUCUAGCAUUGGGUGGCUCGUAUUUCUCACCAACACUGACAGCCAAAUGUCACUUUCACAUUCCCUCUUGCUCUUAGCGCACAACCUUGGGCUGAGGGUCAGGGGGUAGAUCCUGGAUGUUCCCAUGCAAGGAAAAUCAAUUUUGGUUCACAAAAGACAGAGAGGUCGGUGCAGGAGGUCACAGCAUGGUUUCGGUUGCUCUUUGGGUUUAGAAGUUUCAGUGAGGAGGAGGAAGGGGGAUGAACAAGGAGCUAUUGAUGGAACAGGGCUGUUUCCAGGCUGGUAGAAUGAGAGCAUGAGGAGAGGUGAAGGCAGAGGGACCGUCUGCACUGGAGAGGGACCUAUCCCCUUGUGCCAGAACCCCAGCUAUCCCUAAAUCUCAUCACUUGCUCUACUUUGGCCUCACUUCAUCUCACUGUGUAAAGGGAUGCCUACCAAGUUGGGAUAUCAGAUAUGACCAGAGGCUUUUGACUUUGUGGAGCAUUUUGAUACCUGUUUGCCUUUCUCCUUGCAGGAGCUGUGCAGGGCUUCAGCUGUGGCACCAAACCCCUGCAAACAUGGAUGGUGUUGCAGCUGUAAUGUACACUGCAAAACACAGCAGUUCCCAAGGCCUGGAGCAGUGCUGUUGUCUUCAUCUGGUGACAGAUUCAUGGUGUCCAGUGCUUCACUGAAUUUAGUGAGUUACAUCAGGAGCAGAAAAUGAAUCGGGAUCUUAGCUUGCAUUGCCAAGAUCUUGGCAUUUAGUACAUAUUUGGUGCUGCUAUAAAUACAUUAUUUGGCUGUGAUUCUUAUUUAUAGAUUUUUUUAAGUUCAGCCUCACUUUUUCUUUGCACCAAGAGAACGAGAUGAGUCCCAAAGUGCCCACCAGCACUUGGGAAGGCAGAAUAGUUCCAGCGGGGCUCUUUCUGUCCCCACGCUGCCUGCUGCCUUCUCACCAUGGUUGGAAAAAGCCCAAAUGCUCCAUUCAACCCAGGGUUGUUUGGAGUUCCCAGGAAUUUCACCCCAUGACUUUGACCUUUGACAAGAACACUUAAUUAUUUCCAGCUCUCAAGCCAGGUCAUAAAACAGCCCUUUGAAGAAGUUUCCUGCUAUACAUAAAGGAGAUGUCCGGGCUCUGCUCAUUGUGGAGUUUACAUUCCUUGAAUUGAGGGGCUUCUUGAACUGAUGGGGCCCUGGGUCAAAGAGUUCAAUGUUUGGGUUUGUUUUUAGAAGAGAUGGAUCCCUGUUACAGAAUUUGUUCCUCUGUCCAGUCUUUAUACCUCACAAAAUUUUCCUUUUUUAUUUCAGCUUCCCACCUCUUCCUGCCCUCAAUUCUGGAAUUUGAAAUUGCUUCAUUAUAAAGGCAGAAUUUGUCUGCAUAAUUGUAAAUCUACUGGCGGAAUAAAAACUAUUCCACCCUUUUCUUGUCGGCAGGGUCGCGUUUGGAGACUAACCAGUAUUUUAUUCAUCCACAUACUCUGCAGCAGCUGCUUUGUGCUCCUGAGCCUUGGAUUUUUUGGCAGCAGCUUUUGGACGUCUCUCUUCUCCUGGAUGAUGUGCGGCACACAUUCUCUGUACAGCAAGAUAAACUUUCCUUUUUUCCUUUUCUGAUAAGGCUCUUUUUGCGCUCCGGUUGGUCAGGGCAAUAUUUCCCCUCCAGCCAAAAAAUGACCUCUCCAAAGCAUGAGCUGUGCUGGGCUGUGCAAUGAACUGAAGGCAAGGCACCGGCGUGGGACGGGACUAGCUGGAGCAUCGGGCCAAGCUCUGCUGGCACUGAGGUCUGGCGGGGAACACAGCUCUGCCUUCCCCUGGUCACAACAUUACCAGUAAUUGCUUCUUUUUCCUUACAUGGGGAUGUGGGUGGUGGGGACAUUCUUUGGAAAUGAAAAGGCAGCUCUUGCUACCAAACAACGCUUGCCCACAUUUUUAGCAUGAUGCACCGUAACGCAGCAAAACAGAGCUGAAAAAAAAAAACCCAACAAAAACAAGUUUUUACUGAAAUCCCUAUUUUUAGAGCAGCUUCCCAGCUUUUGCAGCUGCGGGCAGAGACACGGUACCUGGAGCUGGGGUGGGAGCAGGGCAGGGACUGAAGGUUCAAUUUCAGCAUGCGAGAUUGUAGAAUCAUAGAAUGAUUUAGGUUGGAAGGGACCUGUAAGAUCCUCUAUUUCCAACCCCCUGCUAUAGGCAGAGAUACCUCCCACAUGACCAGGUUGCUCAAAGCCUCAUCCAGCCUGGCCUUGGAUGCUUCCAGGGAAGGAGCAUUCACAACCUCAUGGUUGUUUUACGGCAUAAAUGUUUCACUGUGAGGUUAGGAAACCAAUGUCGCAGACACUAUAUUUUCUACAGUUGUGGUGUAUUAAGUCAUGGUGCUUUGUGGUUAGGUAUAACAUCAGGCCGCUACAGAGCUGCAUUUGGAGAAUCAUGGCUUUCAUCCUCUAAUUGGGAGGAUGAAAAGCAUUUCAUUAUCAACAACAAGAAUAUUAUCCUUUUUAACUUGCUUUACUGUGCUCAGGGAAUAUAUAUAUAUAUAUAGAUAGGUAGGUAGGUAGAUGUACAUAUAUAUGUAUGUAUUACUUUUUUGUUGUGUUGGCAUUUUGUGGACUUCUGUGAUUUGGUUUUAAAGUUGCAUGUUACUCCGUACUCUGCUGUUCUGCUUAAUGAAGGAACACAGGCAAAUAUGUGUUGGAGGAGGUGUGAGGCUCAAAAAAACAGGGAUGUCAUUUUCUUCUCCAAAUGACGGAGAUGUACACAAGGCUGAACUCCCAGGUACACCACUGGAUAAUGCACCAAACUGGCCUCCAGUGGCUUAAUCCCAGGUAGUAGGGAGUAGGGCUUAGGAGGAGGCCUACAAAACACGAUUAUUGAUGGUUUACAGACAUGUAUGAGAGAGUAAACAAGGAACUUCUUGACUUUUCAGGGAAACAUGUAGCGUGCCUUUCCUAAACCACCAAGUAAUUAUCAUGCUCGUGGUUUUACAAAGAAAACCCUCAGCUAAGUGGUGAAGGGAGAGGCGUGGUUUAUGAGAGCCACAGCACGGCUCCUCUUAAAACUGCAGGGGAUUAGCCAGGAUGCUGCUGGAAGGGAGGCUCCUUUGUGUGUUAUCUGCGGAUACCAUUGAGAAUAGUACUGCCCUGGGAUAGCCUAAAGGAAGAAUUUGUCCCAGUUGCAGCAGAAGCUUUGGAAAUUAGUGGAGUGAUAUAGCUUGUUGUUUAUCUAGCAGCAAAAUCCUCUCCCUCAUGAGCUCUGUGACAAAGAAAUAUUCUGUGUUGGAAGCUCUACAGUUGGAGCCCUUAGAGGUUUUGCAGUCCUUGAUUUCAGGCCCAUAGCAAGGAAUUGCUUCAAGCUUAAAAAAAAAAAGAAGAAAAGAAUGGAGUCUGAACUCUCCUUAGUUAACCUUUUUUCUCCAUCCAUGGUUUUCUGAUGCCCUGAGCUGCCAUUUUCAUGUACUUCCUCAAUGGAAACGGGACUGGUGGAGUUUAGAAAGCAAGGCUGUGUACAGCACAGACACUCAAUCUUACAGUUUGGAAAGCAGAGAGAAUGUGUCAGAGAGGCAGCAGUGGUUACUUGGGCUAUUUCAUCCUUCUGGUAUGUUUUUACCCCCAUGGUUGAUGAUUGCUAGCAUAAGCAAGGUAUUUGUCAUUGUCAUAUUACAUCCUUAUCUCUAAAUUAGAGAGACGUGGGUGUGAUGGAUGGACCACUCGGUGGAUAAGUAAUUGGCUGGAUUGUCACAUUCAAAGAGCUGUUAUCAGCAAAUUAUGUCUGAGUGGAGAGCUGUGACAAGGGGUGUUCCUCAGGGCUUGUUAUUGAGACUUGCACUGUUUAGUACCUUUGUUGGCAAUAUGGACAGUGAGAAUGAAUGCACCCUCAGCAAAUUUGCCAAUGACACUAAGCCAUGUGGUGCAGUUAAUAUACUGGAGAGACAGGAUGCCAUCCAGAAGGACCUGGAGAGGCUUGAGAGGUGGACCCAUGCAGAUCUCAUGAAGUUCAACAAGAACAAGUGCAAGUUCAAUUGGGUUGGAGUAAUUCUGAGCACAAAUAGAGGCUGGGUAGAGAAUGGACUGAAAUCAGCUCCAAGGAGAAGGACUUGUGGGUGUUGGUAGAUGAGAAGAUCAAUAUUACCCAGCAACAUACCCUUGCAGCCCAGAAAGCCAAACGUAUCCUAUACUGCAUCAAAAAAAGCAUGACCAGCAGAUCGAGGAAGGUGAUUGUCCCCCUCUUCUCCACUCUCCUGAGGCCUCACCUGCAGAACUGUGUUCAGCUGGGGCACCCUGCAUAAGGACACAGAACUGUUGGAGUGAGACCAGAGGAAGCCAUGAGAAUGAUCAGAGGGUUGGACCACCUCUUCUCUGAAGACAAGGUGAUGCAGUUGGGGUUGUUCAACCUGGAGGGAGCUCCAGGAAGACCUUAUUAUAGCCUUCCAGUACCAUACAGGAGCCAUCCAGUACUUUCAGGAGCCAUCCAGGAAAAUUGGGGAGGGGCUCUUUCUCAGAGAAUAUAGUGGUAGGAAAAGGGGUAGCAAUUUUAAGCUAAAAAAGGGCAGAUUUCUAUUAGAUAGAAGGAAGAAAUUAUUCAUGAUGAUGGUGGCAAGGUGCUGGCAGAGGCUUCCUGGAGGAGAUGUGAAUUCCUCAUCCAUGGAGACAUUCAAGGCCAGGUUGGAAGGGGCUUGAUCUAGUGGGAUGUGUCCUAACUUAUGGAAGUGGAGUUGGAACUGGAUGGUCUUCAAUGUUCUUUCCAAUCUAUUUUAAUUUGACUUGGCUGGAGACUGAGCACCACAGUCAUUUGUUUGCUCUCUCCUGUCCCAGUGGAAUGGGACAGAGAACCAGAAAAAGAAAAAGGAAAGUUUGUGGGUCAAGAUAAAAACUAUUUAAUAAGAAAGAAAAUAAUAAUAAUAC